AUUGAACGCUGGCGGCAUGCCUUACACAUGCAAGUCGAACGGCAGCACGGGAGCAAUCCUGGUGGCGAGUGGCGAACGGGUGAGUAAUAUAUCGGAACGUGCCCAGUCGUGGGGGAUAACGCAGCGAAAGCUGUGCUAAUACCGCAUACGAUCUAAGGAUGAAAGCGGGGGAUCGCAAGACCUCGCGCGAUUGGAGCGGCCGAUAUCAGAUUAGCUAGUUGGUGGGGUAAAGGCCCACCAAGGCGACGAUCUGUAGCUGGUCUGAGAGGACGACAAGCCACACUGGAACUGAGACACGGUCCAGACUCCUACGGGAGGCAGCAGUGGGGAAUUUUGGACAAUGGGCGCAAGCCUGAUCCAGCAAUGCCGCGUGCAGGAUGAAGGCCUUCGGGUUGUAAACUGCUUUUGUUCGGAACGAAACGGCCCUUUCUAAUACAGGGGGCUAAUGACGGUACCGUAAGAAUAAGCACCGGCUAACUACGUGCCAGCAGCCGCCGUAA
rnacentral:rRNA from 1 species